CUGUUUAAUCACUAACUGAGAUUUCUAUCGAAUAUUUGUCUGAGUUGAAAAUUAAAUUGCUCUGUGUUAAUGAUUAAUUCAUUUGCAGGCUAACUUCAUUUUUAGUCAAUGCUGGGAUUCUUUUACCUGUUCGCAAACAAUAUUCCUAUUAAGAUCAUUAUUUGUAUUGACAUCUUACACAUACUACACAGGCAGGGAGGGAAACUGUUUGGCCUCAUGAUCCUCGCACAGGUUGGAGUUACUGUGUUAUAGUACCAUCCUGGGUUGUCCUGGCAAAGUCUAGAGAUUCAGAUGCUAUAGUGGUAAUUUAAAUGUUUAUGAAUGUUAAGUAACCUGCUUUGGCACCUAAAUAUUGUUUUUAUUAUACAUGAAUCAAUUCUAAAAAUUAAAGAUGGAAGUAGUGUUCAUGAAUUUCUUUUUACUACUAAUCAAUCAGCUCUUAUGUACUUUGUUUCCAAAUGGACAGCCCGUGGAAGUGAACGGAUAAGAAGUUCCUCUUAUUCUGUGUACUGCGAUACGGCAUCAUCUUCUCUUUUAAUUGUGUGAUUGGAAUCAUAAUUUGACAGAAAACUAAGACUUGUAAUGACUUUCUUAGCUUAAAGCAUGGGGGAGUACGUGUGAGCCUGAUCUUAUUGAAUGUAUUUUCUAUAUCUGUGGUAGGUUCCAGUAGAUGUUAGCUACUUUCUUGGCAUAUUUUACCACUGUAGGCAUUAUGGUCCUUAUUACUAAGUAUGGAACACUUAAUGGAAAUGAUAUCAGUCUGACAGUCUCUGUAGUAUGAGCAUUCUUCAGUGCGUUCAUUAUAUCUGCAUUUUAAGAUGUAUUUAGAUGCUUUUUGCAGCAAUAUAUUUCAUCAUAUUGUCUAUAUGCUCUAACCACCAAGUAUAUCUGCAUUUUAAGAUGUAUUUAGAUGCUUUUGUGGCAAUACGUUUCAUCAUAUUGGCUAUAUGCUCUAACCACCAAGUAUAGAACUCUUGAUGUAAAUGAUUCUCGUCUCUGGAGAGUGAGCUUUUCCAGAAGUAUUACCUUAGUUGGAGUCUCUGGAAGUUUUGAUCCUCAGUCAGUUACACUUCUUUUCUUUUGUCUAUGAUUUCCAUAUAGAUUCAUACGUAUUUCUAAUGUGGCACAGUAAUAAGUCAGAAAUUAACCAGUCGUCGUGACUACUCACUUGGGAGUAUAAAGUGGAGGCCUCUGUUUGAAAUACUUAUUUAUAUUCUAUUUUAUGUACCUUACGAGCUUGAAGUGAGAUAAUCUAGUGGUUGAUUUCAUGCCAAUUGCAAUAUGAGAACAGGACUUGGGAGCUGAGAUAAUAUUUGGCUUCUUGAUUCAAUCAUUUUUUUAAAAGUAUAUCACUUUGUGAUGUUCCCCUUAUUUUAUUCUUAUGAGCUGACAUGAGGACAGCUAAUAGAUCGAGCCGAAUCUAAUUAAUACAGUCCAGGCCGGUGGUUCAAAUCGGCUGGGUAAGACUGUGCAUUCCUAUCCUGGUUCCUCCAGAUAUCACCACUCUUGAACUAGAAUCGCUAUUUAUCGCAAACGACUUUAAGAAAAAUCGGAAGUUCUGUAUGAGCUGACAUGAGGACAGCUAAUAGAUGGCAAGUGUAAAUGAGGAGUAGAAGAAGUACUUACUAAGCAUACGUAUAAGGGGCUUUUGCAUUGUUGUUAGUUUCACUGUCUUAAUUGUUAAUCAUGUGCUUUCGAUUAUCUUGGAUGGAAAAAUGGUCUUUUGUAAAGAGUGUUAUACAGGUAGGUGCUGAACCCUGGUUUUGGACUUAUAUGAGCUGACAUGAGGACAGCUAAUAGAUGGCAAGUGUAAAUGAGGAGUAGAAGAAGUACUUACUAAGCAUACGUAUAAGGGGAUUUUGCGUUGUUGUUAGUUUCACUGUCUUAAUUGUUAAUCAUGUGCUUUCGAUUAUCUUGGAUGGAAAAAUGGUCUUUUGUAAAGAGUGUUAUACAGGUAGGUGCUGAACCCUGGUUUUGGACUUGACCGACUCAGGUCACGCGCCCCUUUACUUUCACGCGCCACCACCACGUGUUCAUCACCGAUCUCUCACGAGCACCCUUCUCUCUCUCUCUCUCUCGGUACUGAAUUGUGCAUAUUUUUUUGUUUAUUUGUGUUGUAUACAGAUUUAUCUAUAGGUAAAUGAACUAAUUGAUAAUACAGUGAUCGUUUUUGAAGAGAAGUAUAGAGCAUCUAGGGGUGGGGAGAUGAGCUCACCGCGGCAUAGGCACGAUGGAACUUCUCCUCUGCCUUUGGGUAUGGAUUGGAGCCCUCCCCCUCGUCACUGGGUAUGUUUUUUGAUUAAUUUUUGUUGUUGAUUGAUAGGUUUCCAUUUGAAUUUCAAUGAAUUUGGCUUUUGUUUGAUAGCCAAUCGAUAUAUCGGGAUGCAUUUGGGCUUCCGAUGAAAUUGGACUUCUUUGUGAUAUGUUUAGCAUGCUUCUAUUUAUAUCGAUAACUUUAUACUGUGUGGUCGGCUCUUUAAUCUUCAAGGUUUUAGCUUGAAGAGUGUAAACCCUCAAUUUUCAUGCCACUUAGAAAAUGAUUUUUGGUAGUAUCAACUAAGUAUUGCAAUUUCAGGUGAAAUAUUUUGGUAUGAUCCUUAUUCAAGUACUAUGGACACUUAGAUUGAAAAAAAAUUCCAGUCUUUAGUUCUGUGAUAGUUUAAUCCGAUUUUUUGAUUCGUGGUAAUUGAGUUCACUAUUCAACUUGGAAGUUCUGAAUUUGACCGCAAAUUGGGUCAAGAAAAUCUGAUUAAAAACUUGAGUUCAUAUUCUUAAUUAGGAGGGUCCUGAAUUUACAAGUUCAAAAUUUCAGGGCUGCUAUUUUGUUAAUACUUCAAUUCUGGUGUUUGUGCUUACUUAUUCGUAAUUUUUUAUGCCUUAUCAUUAUUUAAUCUGACAUGGCUGUUUAAUCACUAACUGAGAUUUCUAUCGAAUAUUUGUCUGAGUUGAAAAUUAAAUUGCUCUGUGUUAAUGAUUAAUUCAUUUGCAGGCUAACUUCAUUUUUAGUCAAUGCUGGGAUUCUUUUACCUGUUCGCAAACAAUAUUCCUAUUAAGAUCAUUAUUUGUAUUGACAUCUUACACAUACUACACAGGCAGGGAGGGAAACUGUUUGGCCUCAUGAUCCUCGCACAGGUUGGAGUUACUGUGUUAUAGUACCAUCCUGGGUUGUCCUGGCAAAGUCUAGAGAUUCAGAUGCUAUAGUGGUAAUUUAAAUGUUUAUGAAUGUUAAGUAACCUGCUUUGGCACCUAAAUAUUGUUUUUAUUAUACAUGAAUCAAUUCUAAAAAUUAAAGAUGGAAGUAGUGUUCAUGAAUUUCUUUUUACUACUAAUCAAUCAGCUCUUAUGUACUUUGUUUCCAAAUGGACAGCCCGUGGAAGUGAACGG
rnacentral:lncRNA from 1 species